rnacentral:rRNA from 1 species
GAUGAACGCUGGCGGCGUGCCUAAUACAUGCAAGUCGAGCGAACAGAUGAGGAGCUUGCUCCUCUGACGUUAACGGCGGACGGGUGAGUAACACGAGGAUAACCUACCUAUAAGACUGGGAUAACUUCGGGAAACUGGUGCCAGUACGGGAUCAUAUAUUGAACGGCGGGGUUCAAUAGUGAAAGCGGUUUUGGCUGUCCUUUAGAGAUGUAUCCGGGCGGCAUUGGCUAUUUGGUAAGGUAACGGCUUACCAAGGCAACGGUGAGUAGCCGACCUGAGAGGGUGAUGCGCCACACUGGGACUGACACACGGUCCAGACACUGACGGGCGGCAGCGGUAGGGACGCUACCGCGAUGGGCGAAAGCCUGAAGGAGCAACGCCGCGUGAGUGAUGAAGGGCUUCGGAUCGUAAAACGCUGUUAUUAGGGAAGAACAAAUGCGUAAGUAACUAUGCACGUCGUGACGGUACCUACUCAGAAAGCCACGGCUAACUACGUG